CGCUUCUCCAUAGACUCAAGCUUAUAUUCUAAAAAAGACCCAACCCGCCUAGACGCCCCCAGCCGCCUAGCCGCCGGCCUAGGCCGAUUUUUCGUACACUGCGAUUGACUAAAAGUCUGAAACCCGAAAUUGAAAAAAUUUAGCUGCAAAUUUGAGCUUGAGAUUGAGAUUGGGAAGCCGAAGCAGUGAAGCAAAAGUGAAGUCCAUAGAAGAAGAGAUCAUGAGACUCUUAAUUCAUCUAAUUCCAUUCCUCUCCCUGUUUCCUGCCUUAUUCUCUUCUCUCUAGGCUCUCUCUCAAACGACAUGUUCACCUCACCACACCAACGACAACUACGGCAAUUCCUCCCUCUGCCAACUCCACCUUAUUCUCUUCUCUCUUCGCUUGACGGCAUGGCGCAGAAGAAAAAAAUAAAAAAAUUUCUGACUUGGUGUCUGUCUUCAGUGGAAGGAAAUGAUGAAGCUAUCCUAUCAUGGAGUUUCUGUGGUCUUGCCAAUAACAAGAUCAUGAUGGCGAAUGUCAUAAGUUCGCUUUUUAAAUAUGGAUGAUCUUUCUCUCAAUUAGGCUCAUUGUGCCUCACUAUGGAGCUAUUCUGAAUCACAUUAUACAUGUGCUUCAGAGCAAACAGAUCUAACAAGUGAAGAGGGAAACAGAUUAGUUGUAUCUUUCACAGGGAAAGUACUUGAUAUAUUACAUCACUGUCUUCCUUCAACUAUAAGUUUAUAACUGAACUAGAUCAUGCUCUAAGUGAUGGCAUAAGUAGGGGUGGAAGACAAGCAUUGGAGUGGAGAGCAUCAAUUGCUAAACAUUUCAUUGAAGAGUGGGAAUGGCAGUUGUGAAUUUUGCAGUGUCUUCUUCCUUUAUCUGAACGCCAGUGGCAGUGGAAGGAGGCAUUCACUGUAUUACGUCCCGCACCAUCUAAGCUACUUAACCUUUAGGUCUCCUGGCUGUAGUAAAUGCUUAGAGUGUUAAGUCUAUAUCGAGCUCCUUGGACAGUGGAUUGC